ACGCACGCUGGCGGCGUGCCUCAUACAUGCAAGUUGAGCGCUGAAGGUUGGUACUUGUACCAACUGGAUGAGCAGCGAACGGGUGAGUAACGCGUGGGGAAUCUGCCUUUGAGCGGGGGACAACAUUUGGAAACGAAUGCUAAUACCGCAUAAAAACUUUAAACACAAGUUUUAAGUUUGAAAGAUGCAAUUGCAUCACUCAAAGAUGAUCCCGCGUUGUAUUAGCUAGUUGGUGAGGUAAAGGCUCACCAAGGCGAUGAUACAUAGCCGACCUGAGAGGGUGAUCGGCCACAUUGGGACUGAGACACGGCCCAAACUCCUACGGGAGGCAGCAGUAGGGAAUCUUCGGCAAUGGACGAAAGUCUGACCGAGCAACGCCGCGUGAGUGAAGAAGGGUUUCGGAUCGUAAAACUCUGUUGGUAGAGAAGAACGUUGGUGAGAGUGGAAAGCUCAUCAAGUGACGGUAACUACACAGAAAGGGACGGCUAACUACGUG
rnacentral:rRNA from 1 species